AAAAAAAAAAAAAGAGACGAUAAAAUGCUAAUGGCACGUAGUGUUUCCAAGCGGUCACCCAUUCAAGUACUACUAACUCCGCCCGACGUUGCUUAACUUUAGUGAUCGGAUGAGAACUGGUGUAUUCAACGUGGUAUAGUAGUUGGUGACAAUAUGUUUUGCUAUUAAGUUAUUUAAACAUCCACUCACUUAUGCUAAUCAUAGUUAUAAUUGCAAUUUUGUUUGAUUAUUUCAUUGAAAAUACAGUGGCUCACAAAAAAUGCAGUAGGUUUUUGAAUAUUUUCAGUUUAUUAUUCAGCAGGUUCUUUUAUUGUAUUUAUAUAGUUUUUAAAAACGUUUUUAACUACGGCAUUUCAAAAUUUAUUGUAAAUAAGUAGCUCUUAGUGAACUUCGCUCAGAAUUGUACUUCGUUUAUUGUUGUUUACAAAUAUAAAUUAAACACCUACCAAACUCGGACCCAGACAUUUUGGCGUAUCCGUCCUGGUGUGGCUAUAUUAGAGUGGCCGUAUUUUGGCGUAAGGUUAUUUUGGCACGAGACUGUUUUGGCGUACAAAACACAAAAAUUUUAAAAAUAAAUAUAAUUAAUAUAAAUAAAAAGUAAUUAUUAUUAGUAGCAACUUAUAUUUUGCUCCUUAAAAACUAAUUACAUUGCGGUUGUUGUAACUCUUUAAAUUUUAAAAAUUCUUUCGUCGGCAUAAAUUAUUUUUUUUUUUUUGGAGGACUAUUUCCAGUUUCCAUUUGUUGAUAAAAUGUAUCACGUCUUGACUAAACCUUUCUUAAGUUUUUAAUAAGUGUCCACAAUGGGUGGACGUGAUGAGGCCACUUUUUAAUUACCAUCUAGUAGAUUUAGCUAAUAUUUCGAAGCUUCGAUAACGGCCAAAUAUUAAAAUCCUACUUUCAUCAGGUCCGUUAUCAUGUAAUAAAAAUUGUUCCACAGUAAAUACUCUCUGAUGGCAAAUACGUUUUAAAUUCAUCGGGUAUAACAAGACAAGUCAUUAAGUCUUUUGGUACAUCCGAAACCGCUUGUGAUAACUGUAAGUGCGCGUAUGAUAUGCUAGUGAUCGAUGAUGAGGUACAGAACUAUGUUAUAAUUGUUGGUCAUACGUUUAUGGACAAGGAGAAUGUUACUUUUAUUAAAACAACAAACUAGUUGAUUUUUGACUUUGGUAUGUUAUUUCCAUAUGCGAGUGAGUCCUUUAAAAAUUCGGAAAAUCGAAGACAUCGAUACGUGGAAGAACUAUUAACAUUAUCAACCCAGGAAGAGUUGCCUAUCACGUCAGACAUGGUGCAGUAAAAUGACAGUUUUUCUCCCAAAGAGGUGGGGUCAUUGGUGGAUUUGUUGAACGAGUACAGAUGUUGUUUUUCUUUCAACCUGAAGGAGUUACAAUGUACCGAUCUAACCGAAAUGGUUAUUGAAGACGAAGGGGCACCCAUAGUAGGAAAGCCAUACCGAUGUAGCGAAUCAGAAAGGAAAACAAUUGAUGAUAUCGUGAGAAAGUGAAAAGGAUAAGAAAUAGUUACAGAAACCAGCUCAUUAUACUCGUCCCCAGUAUUAUUGGUGAAAAAAAAUACAGGCGAGCUGAGGUUGGUAGUGGACUAUUGGCGUCUAAAUGCUCAAAUCAAGAAAAACGUGUUUCCAAUCGAAAAUUUAGAUGAUCAGCUCGAGGCUCUGAGUGGAGUCAAGAUAUUUAGUAUGUUGAACUUGGCAUCAGGAUAUCUACAACUACUAUUAACAGAACGUGCAAGGGAAAAGAACAGCUUUUAUCACUCCAAUGGAACAGGGAGAGUUUGCAUGUAUAGUUUUUGGCCUGGUAAACGUUCCAUUUGAGUUUUAUAGGUUAAUGCAUCUAGUCAUUGGAAGACUGUGCAGUGGGAGAUGAAAGAGAAAAUGCAGUGGAUCUAACGUUGGAGGACACCAGCACCAAGACGACCAUCCAGGAAAAUCAAACUAGUCGACCGAAACGUUAAACUAGGCAGCCGAGCUGGCAGCAAGAUUAUGUGGUCUAUGUUGCGAAGAAUUGUGAGGUUCCUAAAUUGUUAAUGGCUAAUAAUGUUUACAGUUUAUAGUCUAUUUUAUGAUUAUAUAAUAUUAAUACA